AAACUGCCUUCUUCCCAGUGAAUUCCUUUCGCUUCAAUUACUUCAGGCUUGAAGGAUGACACGAGUUUUUCUGAAGAUUUGGUUUAAAGAAUUGCUGUGCUUGCAUGAUGACACCGAGG